GAGUUUGAUCAUGGCUCAGGAUGAACGCUAGCGGUUUGCUUAACACAUGCAAGUCAAACGAUACUUUUUAAAAAGUAAAGUGGCGGACGGGUGAAAAACGCGUAAGAACUUACCUUUAGAUUUAGAAUAACAAUAGGAAACUGUUGCUAAAACUUUAUAUGCCGAGGGGUAAAAAUCGAAAGAUGUCGAAAGAUAGGCUUGCGUCUGAUUAGCUUGUUGGUUAGGUAAUAGCUUACCAAGGCGAUAAUCAGUAGCUGUUCUGAGAGGAUGAUCAGCCACAUUGGGACUGAGACACGGCCCAAAUUCCUACGGGAAGCAGCAGUGAGGAAUUUUCCGCAAUGGGCGAAAGCCUGACGGAGCAAGACCGCGUGACAGAGGACGGUCUUUGGAUUGUAAAUGUCUUUUUUUCAGGACGACGUACGACAGUACUGAAAGAAUAAGCAUCGGCUAACUCUGUGCCAGCAGCCGCGGUAAGACAGAGGAUGCAAGCGUUAUCCGGAUUGAUUGGGCGUAAAGUAUCCGUAGGUGGUUUACUAAGUCUUUUGUUAAAGAUUAAAGCUUAACUUUAAAUUAGCAUAGGAAACUAGAAGACUCGAGUAUGGUAUAGGCAGUAGGAAUUCUCGGUGUAGUGGUGAAAUGUGUAGAGAUCGGGAAGAACACCAGAGGCGAAAGCGUACUGCUGGGCUAUUACUGACACUCAGGGAUGAAAGCUGGGGGAGCGAAUGGGAUUAGAUACCCCAGUAGUCCUAGCCCUAAACGAUGGAGACUAGGAUUUAUUCUAUUUCUCUUGAAAUAUAAAGAAAUUAAGUAGAGUCAAAGCUAACGCGUUAAGUCUCCCGCCUGGGAAGUAUGCUCGCAAGAGUGAAACUCAAAGGAAUUGACGGGGGCCCGCACAAGCGGUGGAGCAUGUGGUUUAAUUCGAUGCAACGCGAAGAACCUUACCUGGGUUUGACAUGCCUCUAUAUUAUUUAGGUGUUUAAAAUUUAACUUUAGUGCACAGGUGGUGCAUGGCUGUCGUCAGUUCGUGUCGUGAGAUGUUGGGUUAAGUCCCGCAACGAACGUAACCCUUACUUUUUGUUGUGAUUUUAGAUCGAAAAGGACUGCCGAUGAAAAGUCGGAGGAAGGUGAGGAUAACGUCAAGUCAGCAUGCCCCUUAUGCCCUGGGCGACACACGUGCUACAAUGAUUAAGACAAUGCGUAGCUACUUUGCGAAAAACUGCUAAUCGUUAAACUUAAUCUUAGUUCAGAUUCAUCUCUGCAACUCGAGAUGAUGAAGUUGGAAUCGCUAGUAAUCGCUGGUCAGCCAUACAGCGGUGAAUACGUUCCCGGGCCUUGUACACACCGCCCGUCACACCACGGAAGUUGACUAUACCCGAAAUUGUUUGAAUAAAAUGCCUAAGGUAGAGUUGGUAACUGGGGUGAAGUCGUAACAAGGUAACC
rnacentral:rRNA from 1 species